AGAGUUUGAUCCUGGCUCAGGACGAACGCUGGCGGCGCGCCUAACACAUGCAAGUCGAACGAGAGAGAGGGAGCUUGCUUCCUUGAUCGAGUGGCGAACGGGUGAGUAACGCGUGAGGAACCUGCCUCAAAGAGGGGGACAACAGUUGGAAACGACUGCUAAUACCGCAUAAGCCCACGGCUCGGCAUCGAGCAGAGGGAAAAGGAGCAAUCCGCUUUGAGAUGGCCUCGCGUCCGAUUAGCUAGUUGGUGAGGUAACGGCCCACCAAGGCGACGAUCGGUAGCCGGACUGGGAGGUUGAACGGCCACAUUGGGACUGAGACACGGCCCAGACUCCUACGGGAGGCAGCAGUGGGGAAUAUUGCACAAUGGGGGAAACCCUGAUGCAGCGACGCCGCGUGGAGGAAGAAGGUCUUCGGAUCGUAAACUCCUGUUGUUGAGGAAGAUAAUGACGGUACUCAACAAGGAAGUGACGGCUAACUACGUGCCAGCAGCCGCGGUAAAACGUAGGUCACAAGCGUUGUCCGGAAUUACUGGGUGUAAAGGGAGCGCAGGCGGGCGAUCAAGUUGGAAGUGAAAUCCAUGGGCUCAACCCAUGAACUGCUUUCAAAACUGAUUGUCUUGAGUAGUGCAGAGGUAGGCGGAAUUCCCGGUGUAGCGGUGGAAUGCGUAGAUAUCGGGAGGAACACCAGUGGCGAAGGCGGCCUACUGGGCACCAACUGACGCUGAGGCUCGAAAGUGUGGGUAGCAAACAGGAUUAGAUACCCUGGUAGUCCACACCGUAAACGAUGAUUACUAGGUGUUGGAGGAUUGACCCCUUCAGUGCCGCAGUUAACACAAUAAGUAAUCCACCUGGGGAGUACGACCGCAAGGUUGAAACUCAAAGGAAUUGACGGGGGCCCGCCCAAGCGGAGGAACAUGUGGUUUAAUUCGAUGAUACGCGAGGAACCUUACCCGGGCUUGAAUUGCAGAGGAAGGAUUUGGAGACAAUGACGCCCUUCGGGGUCUCUGUGAAGGUGCUGCAUGGUUGUCGUCAGCUCGUGCCGUGAGGUGUCGGCUUAAGUGCCAUAACGAGCGCAACCCCUCUCCUUAGUUGCCAUCAGGUUAAGCUGGGCACUCUGGGGACACUGCCACCGUAAGGUGUGAGGAAGGUGGGGAUGACGUCAAAUCAGCACGGCCCUUACGUCCGGGGCUACACACGUGUUACAAUGGCAGGUACAGAGAGACGGUUGUACGUAAGUACGAUCAAAUCCUUAAAGCCUGUCUCAGUUCGGACUGGGGUCUGCAACCCGACCCCACGAAGCUGGAUUCGCUAGUAAUCGCGCAUCAGCCAUGGCGCGGUGAAUACGUUCCCGGGCCUUGUACACACCGCCCGUCAAGCCAUGAAAGCCGGGGGCGCCUAAAGUCCGUGACCGUAAGGAGCGGCCUAGGGCGAAACUGGUAAUUGGGGCUAAGUCGUAACAAGGU
rnacentral:rRNA from 1 species